UACGGGGGGAGCAAGCGUUGUUCGGAUUUACUGGGCGUAAAGGGCGCGUAGGCGGUCAGCACAGGUCAGUUGUGAAAUCUCCGGGCUUAACUCGGAACGGUCAACUGAUACUGUGCGACUAGAGUGCGGAAGGGGCAACUGGAAUUCUCGGUGUAGCGGUGAAAUGCGUAGAUAUCGAGAGGAACACCUGCGGCGAAGGCGGGUUGCUGGGCCGACACUGACGCUGAUGCGCGAAAGCCAGGGGAGCGAACGGG
rnacentral:rRNA from 1 species